rnacentral:rRNA from 1 species
AAUCAACGCUGGCGGCGUGCCUAACACAUGCAAGUCGAACGCGAAAGCCCUUUCGGGGGUAAGUAGAGUGGCGUCCGGGUGAGUAACACGUAGGUAAUCUACCUUCGGGUGGGGAAUAACGUCUUCGAAAGAGACGCUAAUACCGCAUAAUGCAGCGGCACCUAAUGGUGAUUAGUUGUUAAAGCGGGGGAUCGUAAGACCUCGCGCCUGAAGAGGAGCCUGCGGCAGAUUAGCUAGUUGGCGAGGU